rnacentral:rRNA from 1 species
AUUGAACGCUGGCGGAAUGCUUUACACAUGCAAGUCGAGCGGCAGCGCGGGGGCAACCCUGGCGGCGAGCGGCGAACGGGUGAGUAAUAUAUCGGAACGUACCCCGUCGUGGGGGAUAACACAGCGAAAGCUGUGCUAAUACCGCAUACGACCUGAGGGUGAAAGCGGGGGAUCGCAAGACCUCGCGCGAUGGGAGCGGCCGAUAUCGGAUUAGCUUGUUGGUGAGGUAAAGGCUCACCAAGGCGACGAUCCGUAGCUGGUCUGAGAGGACGACCAGCCACACUGGAACUGAGACACGGUCCAGACUCCUACGGGAGGCAGCAGUGGGGAAUUUUGGACAAUGGGGGCAACCCUGAUCCAGCCAUUCCGCGUGAGUGAAGAAGGCCUGUGU